UACGAAGGGGCUAGCGUUGCUCGGAAUCACUGGGCGUAAAGCGCACGUAGGCGGAUGCUAAGUCAGGGUGAAAUCCUGGAGCUCAACUCCAGAACUGCCUUUGAUACUGGUGAUCUUGAGUCCGGGAGAGGUGGAGUGGAACUGCGAGUGUAGAGGUGAAAUUCGUAGAUAUUCGCAAGAACACCAGUGGCGAAGGCGGCUC
rnacentral:rRNA from 1 species